UGGGGUUGUGGCUCAGUGGCAGAGCACUUGCCUAGCAUGUGUGAGGCACUAGGUUUGAUCCUUAGCACCACAA
rnacentral:tRNA from 1 species